CGUGCGGGGUGCUAUACAUGCAGUCGAACGCACUUUCGUUAAUUGAUUUUGAGAUGCUUGCAUCGAAGAUGAUUUUAACUAUAAAGUGAGUGGCGAACGGGUGAGUAACACGUGGGUAACCUGCCCAGAAGGGGGGGAUAACACCUGGAAACAGAUGCUAAUACCGCAUAACAAAAUUAACCGCAUGGUUGAUUUUUAAAAGAUGGCUUCGGCUAUCACUUCUGGAUGGACCCGCGGCGUAUUAGCUAGUUGGUGAGAUAAAGGCUCACCAAGGCAGUGAUACGUAGCCGACCUGAGAGGGUAAUCGGCCACAUUGGGACUGAGACACGGCCCAGACUCCUACGGGAGGCAGCAGUAGGGAAUCUUCCACAAUGGACGCAAGUCUGAUGGAGCAACGCCGCGUGAGUGAUGAAGGCUUUCGGGUCGUAAAACUCUGUUGUUGGAGAAGAACGUGUGUGAGAGUAACUGCUCAUGCAGUGACGGUAUCCAACCAGAAAGCCACGGCUAACUACGUGCCAGCAGCCGCGGUAAUACGUAGGUGGCAAGCGUUAUCCGGAUUUAUUGGGCGUAAAGCGAGCGCAGGCGGUCUUUUAAGUCUAAUGUGAAAGCCUUCGGCUUAACCGAAGAAGUGCAUUGGAAACUGGGAGACUUGAGUGCAGAAGAGGAGAGUGGAACUCCAUGUGUAGCGGUGAAAUGCGUAGAUAUAUGGAAGAACACCAGUGGCGAAGGCGGCUCUCUGGUCUGCAACUGACGCUGAGGCUCGAAAGCAUGGGUAGCGAACAGGAUUAGAUACCCUGGUAGUCCAUGCCGUAAACGAUGAAUGCUAAGUGUUGGAGGGUUUCCGCCCUUCAGUGCUGCAGCUAACGCAUUAAGCAUUCCGCCUGGGGAGUACGACCGCAAGGUUGAAACUCAAAAGAAUUGACGGGGGCCCGCACAAGCGGUGGAAGCAUGGUGGUUUAAUUCGAAGCUACGCGAAGAACCCUUACCAGGUCUUGACAUCUUCUGCUAACCUAAGAAGAUUAGCGUUCCCUUUCGGGGACGGAAUGACAGGUGGGGGGCAUGGGUGUCGUCAGCUCGUGUCGUGGAGAUGGUUUGGGUUAGUCCCGCACGAGCGCACCCAUAUAUAGCUGCCAGCAUUAAGUUGGGCACUUCUAGUGA
rnacentral:rRNA from 1 species